CACGCCGCUCCAGUGCAAAUGACCAACUUUAGCUGGCUGAAGCCGGGCCAAAUCGUCAUAAUUCCCAUGAAAAGGAAUCUCAAUACAUUUGGUCCCCUUCAACCAGCUGUGGUUGGCAUAGCUCAACAACGGAAUCAACG
rnacentral:pre_miRNA from 14 species